rfam:Camelus ferus unplaced genomic scaffold scaffold843, whole genome shotgun sequence.
AGAGUCCACUGGGGUCGGUCGGCUCCGCAGCUGCGCAAGGUGAACACGCAAAACCAAACGCCGAAGUUGGAGAA